rnacentral:rRNA from 1 species
AGAAGGGAGCUUGCUCCCGGAUGUUAGCGGCGGACGGGUGAGUAACACGUGGGUAACCUGCCUGUAAGACUGGGAUAACUCCGGGAAACCGGAGCUAAUACCGGAUAGUUCCUUGAACCGCAUGGUUCAAGGAUGAAAGACGGUUUCGGCUGUCACUUACAGAUGGACCCGCGGCGCAUUAGCUAGUUGGUGGGGUAAUGGCUCACCAAGGCGACGAUGCGUAGCCGACCUGAGAGGGUGAUCGGCCACACUGGGACUGAGACACGGCCCAGACUCCUACGGGAGGCAGCAGUAGGGAAUCUUCCGCAAUGGACGAAAGUCUGACGGAGCAACGCCGCGUGAGUGAUGAAGGUUUUCGGAUCGUAAAGCUCUGUUGUUAGGGAAGAACAAGUGCGAGAGUAACUGCUCGCACCUUGACGGUACCUAACCAGAAAGCCACGGCUAACUACGUGCCAGCAGCCGCGGUAAUACGUAGGUGGCAAGCGUUGUCCGGAAUUAUUGGGCGUAAAGGGCUCGCAGGCGGUUUCUUAAGUCUGAUGUGAAAGCCCCCGGCUCAACCGGGGAGGGUCAUUGGAAACUGGGAAACUUGAGUGCAGAAGAGGAGAGUGGAAUUCCACGUGUAGCGGUGAAAUGCGUAGAGAUGUGGAGGAACACCAGUGGCGAAGGCGACUCUCUGGUCUGUAACUGACGCUGAGGAGCGAAAGCGUGGGGAGCGAACAG